AAGACUAUACUUUCAGGGGUCAUUUCUAUAGUUCAUUGCUGGAGAAGUUUCUCUGACUGUGUGGGGAACCGGAAACCACGAGGAGUGUUCUCUCCUAAGCGUGAAGCCAGCUUUUGGUGUUACUUUCCUGCAACUGCAACGUGCCACGGAUGAUCAGUCCUGCUCUUCUUUGGGGGAGCUGGAAGGAGAGUAUGCAGCCUGAGUGGC
ensembl:snoRNA U3 Small nucleolar RNA U3